CUGUUCACAGCCCACAAAUCUUCUUUUGUUGUUCAAUUUGUCUUCUCAGUUCCAUUCUUCUACAAACCCUAAAUUCCUGCUGGUUUUAGCCUUCACAAAGCCUCAAAUUUCAGCUUUAAUUCUAGAGACUUGCUGGCUGUCAUGCACCACCGUUUUAAUUAAUCCUACUCAAUGAGCUAAUAUUUCUCUUUCUUUUAGGCCAAGUGCUUGGAAACUGGG
rnacentral:misc_RNA from 1 species